rnacentral:rRNA from 1 species
AGCUCCAAUAGCGUAUAUUAAAGUUGUUGCAGUUAAAGCGUCCGUAGUUGAUAUUCGAAAAUAUCUUUAUGACUUAACAUAAUUUAUGUUAUAUAUAAAUGUAUAUUUUCUAGUUUGCGGUUUACCGUUAAACAAUGUUACUUUGAGUAAAUUGGAGUGCUCCAAGCAGGCUUAACAGCCUAAACAUCUCAGCAUAGAAUAACAACAUAUGACCUAAGUCUGUAUUGUUGGUUUUCAGAUAUUGUGUAAUGAUUGAUAAGGACAUUCGGGGGCAUUUGUACUCGCUGGGGAGAGGUAAAAUUCUAAGAUCCAGUGAUGACAAACAAAUGCGAAAGCAUUUGUCUAGUGUGUACCUG